GAGCGUUGUGAUGCCUGAGGUGAAACUAAGUGCUUGCAGUCAUCUAGGAGGCAUAUUGUCUUCUGAUGCAACUCUCUCUAAUAUGUCUAUCCUGAAAGUUGUCAUGCAACACUGAUUGCUUUUGGGGAUUACUAUCUGUCAUAAAUCUGACCAUGUUUGCCCUGAAAGAGCUGAAGAACUUUUUUUUUGUGUGUGUGUGUAUCCUAUUAAGAAGUAUAAAAUGUCUUUAUGCUUUUCCUGCCCUUUAAUAAAGUUUACUGAACUUUCAUGUA